CUGGGUUUAAAGUGUACGUAGGCGGCUAUUCAAGUCAGAGGUGAAAGCCUGGGGCUCAACCCCAGAACUGCCUUUGAAACUAGGUAGCUUGAACACGGGAGAGGUGAGUGGAAUUCCGAGUGUAGAGGUGAAAUUCGUAGAUAUUCGGAAGAACACCAGUGGCGAAGGCGGCUCACUGGACCGUUGUUGACGCUGAGGUACGAAAGCGUGGGGAGCAAACAGGAUUAGAUACCCCUAGUA
rnacentral:rRNA from 1 species